rnacentral:sRNA from 1 species
CUCACGUAUGAGGUAUCAUCCGGAGCA